GCGCACGGGUGAGUAACACGUGACUAACCUACCCUUGAGUGGGGAAUAACUUCGGGAAACCGAGGGUAAGUACCGCAUAAUACCUACGGGUCAAAGGAGCAAUUCGCUUAAGGAGGGGGUCGCGGCAGAUUAGUUAGUUGGCGGGGUAAUGGCCCACCAAGACAGUGAUCUGUAUCCGGCCUGAGAGGGCGCACGGACACACUGGAACUGAAACACGGUCCAGACUCCUACGGGAGGCAGCAGUGGGGAAUUUUGCGCAAUGGGGGAAACCCUGACGCAGCAACGCCGCGUGGAGGAUGAAGCCCCUUGGGGCGUAAACUCCUUUCGAUCGGGAAGAUAAUGACGGUACCGGAAGAAGAAGCACCGGCUAACUUCGUGCCAGCAGCCGCGGUAAUACGAGGGGGGCGAGCGUUGUUCGGAAUUAUUGGGCGUAAAGGGCGCGUAGGCGGUUGGACAAGGUCUUGUGUGAAAUCUUCAGGCUCAAACCUGAAGUCUGCAUAGGAAACUGUCCGGCUUGAGUGUGGGAGAGGUGCGUGGAAUUCCCGGUGUACGGUGAAAAU
rnacentral:rRNA from 1 species